ensembl:lncRNA
GGUGGAUAUAUGAUUAUGAGGAAACGCCAAGAGAAUCAGGACUUUAGACAGAUGAAAGGAGAAUGAGAAAACUUAAUAUUCUCCUUCAAGGAUAUGAAAGGUUAUAAUGAGGAAGGCACUGGCCAGCUUCUCUUAACUGUCACAGAGGACAGAACUAAGAAAAAGAAGGAUACUUUAUAGAGACUCAAUAGGACGUCAUGACCUCCUCUGACACCAUGCUGGUGGGCAAAGGUGGAUACCCUGUGAGAUGCAGCAGAGGUCGAUGUUCCGUGAACACUCUGGGGCUUAAGAAUGAUCUCCCAGCCAUCAGCUGAGUCUAGUGCUCCAGUCAAGAGACCACCAGGCUUCCUUGGUGCACAGCAAUAAAGGAUAUCCUGCAACGUAAGAGAUAUGGGUUCAGUUCCUGGGUCAGGAAUAUCCUCUGGUGGAGGAAAUGGCAACCCACUUCAGUAUUCUUGCCUGGGAAAUCCCAUGGUCGGAGGAGCCUGGUGGACUACAGUCUGUGGCGUUGCCAAGAGUUGGAUGUGACUGAGCAUCAGCGGCAAAAGACCAUUUGUCCUAGCCUUCAUCUUCUGCCUACAGGAGAGAAGGGUGGUUGCUCAGUUGCACAUGUGGGGAA